rnacentral:rRNA from 1 species
GAUGAACGCUGGCGGCGUGCCUAAUACAUGCAAGUCGAGCGAACAGACGAGGAGCUUGCUCCUCUGACGUUAGCGGCGGACGGGUGAGUAACACGUGGAUAACCUACCUAUAAGACUGGGAUAACUUCGGGAAACCGGAGCUAAUACCGGAUAAUAUAUUGAACCGCAUGGUGCAAUAGUGAAAGACGGUUUUGCUGUCACUUAUAGAUGGAUCCGCGCCGCAGUAGCUAGUUGGUAAGUUAACGGCUUACGAAGGGAACGAUGCGUAGCCGACCUGAGAGGGUGAUCGGCCACCCUGGAACUGAGCCACGGUCCAGACUACUACGGGAGGCAGCAGUAGGGAAUCUUCCGCAACGGGCGAAAGCCUGACGGAGCAACGCCGCGUGAGUGAUGAAGGUCUUCGGAUCGUAAAACUCUGUUAUUAGGGAAGAACAAAUGUGUAAGUAACUAUGCACGUCUUGACGGUACCUAAUCAGAAAGCCACGGCUAACUACGUG